AGGAUAGUGGCAAACGGGUGAGUAAUGCGUAGAUAACUUGCCUUGAAGUUGGGAAUAGCUCGUCGAAAGACGGGGUAAUACCCGAUAGUCUCUAUUCACUUUGUGUGUUUUAGAGUAAAGCUUUUGCGCUUCAAGAGAGGUCUGCGUCCUAUCAGCUAGUUGGUGAGGUAAUGGCUCACCAAGGCGAAGACGGGUAGCUGGUGUGAGAGCACGGUCAGCCACCAUGGAACUGAGACACGGUCCAUACUCC
rnacentral:rRNA from 1 species